rnacentral:rRNA from 1 species
AUUGAACGCUAGCGGCAUGCUUUACACAUGCAAGUCGAACGGUAACGAAGAAAAUCUUGCUUCUCUGUCGACGAGUGACGAACGGAUGAGUAUAGCAUCGGACCGUGCCAAGUAGUGGGAGAUAACCAGACGAAAGUUUGGCUAAUACCGCGUAAGCUCCAAGGAGGAAAGUAUGGGACCUAAAUAAGGCCUUACUCUAUUUGAUCGGGCGAUGUCGGAUUAUCUAGUUGGUGGGGUAAUGGCUCACCAAGGCAAUGAUCCGCAUCGGCUAUGAGAGGACGAUCCGCCACACUGGGACUGAGACACGGCCCACCACUCCUACUGGAGGAAGCAGUGGGGAAUUUUGGACAAUGGGGGAAACCCUGAUCCAGCCAUGCCGCGUGUAUGAAGAAGGCCUUAUGGUUAUAAAGUACUUUUGUUAGGAGAGAAAAGCUAGUGUUAAAUAGAAAUUAUUGAUGACGGAACCUAAAGAAUAAGCACCGGCUAACUACGUGCCAGCAGCCGCGGUAAUACAUAGGGUGCACGCGAUAGUCGCAAUUAUUGAGGGUAAAGCGAGUGCAGACGGUUACUUAAGCCAGAUGUGAAAUCCCCAUGCUUAACUUGGGACGUGCAUUUGGAACUGUGUGACUAGAGCAUGUCAGAGGGAGGUAGAAUUCCACAUGUAGCGGUGGAAUGCGUAGAGAUGUGGAGGAAUACCGAUGGCGAAGGCAGCCUCCUGGGAUAACACUGACGUUGAGGCUCGAAAGCGUGGGGAGCAAACAGGAUUAAAUACCCUGGUAGUCCACGCCCUAAACGAUGACAUAUUAGCUGUUGAGCUUUGAAAGGCUUAGUAGCGCAGCUAACGCGAGAAAUUGUCCGCCUGGGGAGUACGGUCGCAAGAUUAAAACUCAAAGGAAUUGACGGGGACCCGCACAAGCGGUGGAUGAUGUGGAUUAAUUCGAUGCAACGCGAAGAACCUUACCUGGUCUUGGCAUGUAUGGAAUUUUUUAGAGAUAAAAAAGUUCCUUCGGGAACCGUAACACAGGUGCUGCAUGGCUGUCGUCAGCUCGUGUCGUGAGAUGUUGGGUUAAGUCCCGCAACGAGCGCAACCCUUGUCAUUAGUUGCCAUCAUUUGGUUGGGCACUCUAAUGAGACUGCCGGUGAUAAGCCGGAGGAAGGUGGGGAUGAUGUCAAGUCCUCAUGGCCCUUAUGACCAGGGCUUCACACGUCAUACAAUGGUAGGUACAGAGGGUAGCCAAGCCGUAAGGUCGAGCCAAUCUCAGAAAGCCUAUCGUAGUCCGGAUUGUAGUCUGCAACUCGCCUACAUAAAGUCGGAAUCGCUAGUAAUCGCAGAUCAGCAUGCUGCGGUGAAUACGUUCCCGGGUCU